AGUAGUGAAUAACUUUCCCUCACCCACGCGUGCCAUCUCCAAAGCAAGCCCUUGCGCCAUCUCCGUAGAAAGCCCUCUCCAAACGAAAGCUUCUCAUCACUCUCUGAAGAAUUGUGCCUGUUGUUGGAGCCAAUUUGCUUUGUCAUCACGUCGCCGAGAGGAAGUAAGAUGCCACUGCUUAUGUCGGCAAUCUUGACCCUCAGAUUCUCUAAAGCAACUAUGAAUGCAAGCUUUGGAAAGAAUGAAAAAAAUAUUAGACACACCUGCCAUCUCCAUGGGUUGAAGGCAAGAGGAUCCUCAUAUUUCACUGGGUUCAAGUGCACAGCCGGGGGACACACCAUGAUUGACCAGCCUGAUGAUAGAUGAAUUAGUACCAGCUGAUACACGAACCGGGAAGGGCAAUUAUCUUUUAAAUACGUUAUAAUAAGAUCAAAGUAUGGAUUUUUA